CUGGAACCCACAGUCGUGCCAGCUGUGUGCACCAGCAUGGACGGGCCGCACUUCUUUGUAAACAGAGUGACGGUGACACAGCAGGUGUCACCAAAUGUGCACUUCCUCUCCCUCCUGUUGGGGCCAGAAAGUGACACUACAAUUAUUUUGCCACAAGGAACAGCCCUCCCUCCACGUGACACGCCAGAAACAGCAGAGCCGCCUCCCACCCGCCAAGCUGCAGGAAUCAAGCCACAGGAAUCGCAGGCGCGUGGCCUGCCUCUGCUCCUGCGCCUGCCACAUGGGAAGCUUUGCCUGGAGGAGCCUGUGCUGCCGCGUCAUGGGUCCCCGGCAAAGGGAGAGCAGCCUGGUCUCUCUAUGAGGGGCCCUCAAGGCUCUGGGGGCUUCAGGACCGAGGACACAGUCACUGCUGUUGGGAGAGGCCUGCUUUCCCCCCGCACCCCCCAGGGAGACGGAGUGGGGGCUCCACCCUUCCUGAAGCACCGAGAGGCGGCUCCUGGGCCCCUUGCUGCCCCAGGAAGGAGAGCUGGCUGGUCGCCUGGCUCAGCCCUCAGCAGGGAGCUCAGGAAGCGGAGCGGGAGCGUCGGGAGGACGUGGUGCCCACACGAGGCAGCCCCACGAUAGGCAGAGCCGCUGCUGCUGCUGACGUAAGUGUCCCGGGAACGUCCAACAUGACCUUCACCCUGAGGUCAGGGGGACACUUGCCACGCCCCACCAGCACCAGCGUCCUGCCCAGGUGGGUCCUCACCACGGCCUGGAGGGAACCAGGGUGGAAAGGGGACCAAAACCGCCUCCAGAGACAGAGGGCUGAGGGGCAAGCUGGUCCCGGCAGCCCAGGUGUCUCAGUCAGUGGGGGAAGGUGGGCUGUGGGUCUCGCCCCACACCCUUCCUCCCUCUGCCCUCUCUCCUCACUCACUCCCGUGCUGUGAACUAACGUUCAUCUGUGGAAGCCCUGCCCCCCAGUGUGGAGACGUGGCCUUUGGGAGGUGAGUAGGGUUAGCUGAGGUCCCAAGGGCGGGGCGCCAUGGUGCACCCACCAAAGAAGGCCAUGUAAGGACACAACCAGGAAGAGAGCUCACCAGAACCCCACCACGCUGGCACCCUACUCCCUGACGUCCAGCCUCCGGAACCGUGAAGAUCAAAUGUCUGUUGUUUGAGCCCCAUCUGGGGCGUUCUCCUUAGGGCAGGGGACUGACCUCCUCCUCCCCCCACCUCUGUUCCCAGCAAACACUCGCACAUCCAGGCAUCUCCUGCCGGAUGGUGCCUCAGCCUCCCUGGGAGGGGCACACACCCGUUCACAAGGGACUCGGAGCAGGGAAGCCCAUGGAAGGCAGGAGGGAAGCCCUGAAGGCCCCCAGCUCUCCCGCAGGAGACAGACUCCCCCCAGCUGAACCGGGCUUCCACCUCAGAGAGAUCACCACUGCAAACUGCUCUAAACCAGUUCCACCCAGACCGCCAAACUGCGCCAGCACAGCAGGACUUGGCGGUGACCUGACGUUGCCUCUGCUCCGUUGCUGUACAGAAAUCUCCCCCACCGAGUACCCCGCCGGGCACACUCCGUGCCGUGCUCAAAGCAGUUCGGAGGACUGCGCUCACCAACCACUCCUGGAAACCUCCGCCCUUUCCUGGGCCCCUGAGGACGCUAGAACCCUUUGCCCCGGGGAGUUCCCCAUUUCCCCGUCUUCCGGAAGAAGGUGUUUUAGAGCACGGGCUCUCCUUCUCCAUUCCUUGAUCAACAAAUCAAGUUUCUGCUCUGCUGCUCCAAACCCGGUCUCAUCCUAUUGACGAGAGCGACUCCGGGCAGAAGGACCCACUUGUGGGCCACCCAUCAGUCCCUUAGGGCUCAGUGACAAAACCAUUUCACAAAUGAAGUGACAAAGUGACAAGUAAGGUGAGAGGACAGAUGCCGUGGAAAUCACAGAAGGGACAUUUAAAAAAUGGAAAAGUGAACAAAUAAAAAGAACUAGGAAAGAGAGCA
rnacentral:lncRNA from 1 species